rnacentral:lncRNA from 1 species
AAAAAAAAGUUUUUCAAAUCAUUACUGAUAAAAGCCCCUUUUAUUUAAAAAAAACCAUAUAUCUGAUUUAUCAACUAUAUCUACAAUGUUAGGUUAUUUAUAAAACAAAAGUAAAUACCGUAAUUUUACAAACAUUUUCUCUGUAAAGUUUAUAAAUAAAAAUAGAUAUAAUGCAUGCAAUUUAAAAAGGUAUAAACUCACUUACAUUCUAACCUCCCACACGAACUUGUUGAUGGAGAGAUGUUUCCACUAAUAUUUGCAACUUUACUAGGGAAGUCAUUGCAAAUAAAUACAACUUUCUCGACCUAUUGAAGACUGCUUACACCCAAUGUCAGAUUCACCUGAACCAACAACUUUCUUUAUUGAUAACGAAGCUACUGUCUUGAUUUUUU